rnacentral:rRNA from 1 species
CUCGGAACUGCAUUUGAAACUGGUGAACUAGAGUGCUGUAGAGGGGGGUAGAAUUUCAGGUGUAGCGGUGAAAUGCGUAGAGAUCUGAAGGAAUACCAGUGGCGAAGGCGGCCCCCUGGACAGACACUGACACUCAGAUGCGAAAGCGUGGGGAGCAAACAGGAUUAGAUACCCUGGUAGUCCACGCCGUAAACGAUGUCUACUUGGAGGUUGUGGCCUUGAGCCGUGGCUUUCGGAGCUAACGCGUUAAGUAGACCGCCUGGGGAGUACGGUCGCAAGAUUAAAACUCAAAUGAAUUGACGGGGGCCCGCACAAGCGGUGGAGCAUGUGGUUUAAUUCGAUGCAACGCGAAGAACCUUACCUACUCUUGACAUCCAGAGAAGCCAG